UGAGGAAUAUUGGUCAACGGGCGGAAGCCUGAACCAGCCAUCCCGCGUGAAGGAAGAAGGCCUUAUGGGUUGUAAACUUCUUUUCUGUUUGAAGAAUAAGCUUGUCGAGACAAGUGAUGCCGGUAGGACAGGAAUAAGCAUCGGCUAACUCCGUGCCAGCAGCCGCGGUGAUACGGAGGAUGCAAGCGUUAUCCGGAUUUAUUGGGUUUAAAGGGUGCGCAGGUGGUUUAAUAAGUCAGUGGUGAAAGUCUGCCGCUUAACGGUAGGAUUGCCAUUGAUACUGUUGGACUUGAAUAUGGAUGAGGUAGGCGGAAUGUGUAGUGUAGCGGUGAAAUGCUUAGAUAUUACGCAGAACACCGAUUGCGAGGGCAGCUUACUAAUCCAUGAUUGACGCUGAGGCACGAAAGCGUGGGGAUCAAACAG
rnacentral:rRNA from 1 species